GCACCGAAGCUGCGGCAGCGACACUAUGUGUUGUUGGGUAGGGGAGCGUUCUGUAAGCCUGUGAAGGUGUGCUGUGAGGCAUGCUGGAGGUAUCAGAAGUGCGAAUGCUGACAUAAGUAACGAUAAAGCGGGUGAAAAGCCCGCUCGCCGGAAGACCAAGGGUUCCUGUCCAACGUUAAUCGGGGCAGGGUGAGUCGACCCCUAAGGCGAGGCCGAAAGGCGUAGUCGAUGGGAAACAGGUUAAUAUUCCUGUACUUGGUGUUACUGCGAAGGGGGGACGGAGAAGGCUAUGUUGGCCGGGCGACGGUUGUCCCGGUUUAAGCGUGUAGGCUGGUUUUCCAGGCAAAUCCGGAAAAUCAAGGCUGAGGCGUGAUGACGAGGCACUACGGUGCUGAAGCAACAAAUGCCCUGCUUCCAGGAAAAGCCUCUAAGCAUCAGGUAACAUCAAAUCGUACCCCAAACCGACACAGGUGGUCAGGUAGAGAAUACCAAGGCGCUUGAGAGAACUCGGGUGAAGGAACUAGGCAAAAUGGUGCCGUAACUUCGGGAGAAGGCACGCUGAUAUGUAGGUGAAGUCCCUCGCGGAUGGAGCUGAAAUCAGUCGAAGAUACCAGCUGGCUGCAACUGUUUAUUAAAAACACAGCACUGUGCAAACACGAAAGUGGACGUAUACGGUGUGACGCCUGCCCGGUGCCGGAAGGUUAAUUGAUGGGGUCAGCGCAAGCGAAGCUCUUGAUCGAAGCCCCGGUAAACGGCGGCCGUAACUAUAACGGUCCUAAGGUAGCGAAAUUCCUUGUCGGGUAAGUUCCGACCUGCACGAAUGGCGUAAUGAUGGCCAGGCUGUCUCCACCCGAGACUCAGUGAAAUUGAACUCGCUGUGAAGAUGCAGUGUACCCGCGGCAAGACGGAAAGACCCCGUGAACCUUUACUAUAGCUUGACACUGAACAUUGAGCCUUGAUG
rnacentral:rRNA from 1 species